AACGUAGGGCCCAAGCGUUGUCCGGAAUCACUGGGUGUAAAGGGUGCGUAGGCGGGCGCGUGCGUCCGGGGUGAAAGGCUCCGGCUCAACCGGAGACAUGCCUCGGAUACGGCGCGUCUUGGGUGCGGGAGAGGGCGAUGGAAUUCCUGGUGUAGCGGUGAAAUGCGUAGAUAUCAGGAGGAACACCAGUGGCGAAGGCGGUCGCCUGGCCCGCAACCGACGCUGAGGCACGAAAGCGUGGGGAGCAAACCGG
rnacentral:rRNA from 1 species